rnacentral:rRNA from 1 species
AGAGUUUGAUCCUGGCUCAGAACGAACGCUGGCGGCAGGCCUAACACAUGCAAGUCGAACGCUCGUAGCAAUACGAGAGUGGCAGACGGGUGAGUAACACGUGGGAACCUUCCCUAUGGUUCGGAAUAGCCCAGGGAAACUUGGGGUAAUACCGGAUAAGCCCUUACGGGGAAAGAUUUAUCGCCAUUGGAUGGGCCCGCGUCGGAUUAGCUAGUUGGUGGGGUAACGGCUCACCAAGGCGACGAUCCGUAGCUGGUCUGAGAGGAUGAUCAGCCACACUGGGACUGAGACACGGCCCAGACUCCUACGGGAGGCAGCAGUGGGGAAUAUUGGACAAUGGGCGCAAGCCUGAUCCAGCCAUGCCGCGUGAGUGACGAAGGCCUUAGGGUUGUAAAGCUCUUUUGGCGGGGAAGACAAUGACGGUACCCGCAGAAUAAGCUCCGGCUAACUUCGUGCCAGCAGCCGCGGUAAUACGAAGGGAGCUAGCGUUGUUCGGAAUCACUGGGCGUAAAGCGCACGUAGGCGGAUGUGUCAGUCA